rnacentral:sRNA from 1 species
GCCGCUUAGCAGGUAGGUUUAUUAGCAUCUCCAGGGACAGUUGAAAGCCUCGUUGAUCAUUUUCGUUGGAUUUUUGGCCGCUUUGCAGGUAGGUUUAUUAGCGCAUCCAGGGACAUUUGAAAGCAUUGCUGAUCAUCUUCGUUGGAUUUUUGGCCGCUUAGCAGGUGAGUGUAUGUUGUGAACUUUUGCUGGUUUCUAUUUAGCUACUAAUUAGAUGAUUCUUUUUACUUUUCUCAUUUCAGGUAGGUUUAUUAGCAUCUCCAGGGACAGUUGAAAGCCUCGUUGAUCAUUUUCGUUGGAUUUUUGGCCGCUUUGCAGGUGAGUGUAUA